rnacentral:rRNA from 1 species
AUGCAGUCGAACGAUGAUGCCCAGCUUGCUGGGCGGAUUAGUGGCGAACGGGUGAGUAACACGUGAGUAACCUGCCCUUGACUUCGGGAUAACUCCGGGAAACCGGGGCUAAUACCGGAUAUGAGCCGUCCUCGCAUGGGGGUGGUUGGAAAGUUUUUCGGUCAGGGAUGGGCUCGCGGCCUAUCAGCUUGUUGGUGGGGUGAUGGCCUACCAAGGCGACGACGGGUAGCCGGCCUGAGAGGGCGACCGGCCACACUGGGACUGAGACACGGCCCAGACUCCUACGGGAGGCAGCAGUGGGGAAUAUUGCACAAUGGGCGAAAGCCUGAUGCAGCGACGCCGCGUGAGGGAUGAAGGCCUUCGGGUUGUAAACCUCUUUCAGCAGGGAAGAAGCGCAAGUGACGGUACCUGCAGAAGAAGCGCCGGCUAACUACGUGCCAGCAG